rnacentral:snoRNA from 1 species
UGCCCCUUUCUCACUUUGCCAAGUGGACUUAUGUCUUAACUGCCCAUUCAUGGGGCAAAGGAAGCCUCCUUGAAAACUCAAGCAAACUGGGGGUUUGUCUUGUAUCCUGUCAGAGGAAACAAGU